rnacentral:misc_RNA from 1 species
AAGAGAUGUCCUUUUAUGGAAUUUUUGUAAACACCAACAUUAGGAAUUGGCGGUGUUGUAUCGGAAGAUUUAAGAGUUAUUAGGCUGUCCAAAAGAAGUCGAAGUGAGGAUUAGAUGGGAAUUGCCUAGAAAUAAAUAAUUUCUUAUGAAAUUGGAUCCUUGGGAGCUGCCUUGGUGGGAUUAUUUCAACAUAAAUACAUAAAUUUUGUUACAGCAUUUAUAAAUUCAUCUUUAGAUACUAUCACGAAAAUCUUG